rnacentral:rRNA from 1 species
GGGUGCUCGAGUGGCGAACGGGUGAGUAACACGUGAGUAACCUGCCCUUGACUUUGGGAUAACUUCAGGAAACUGGGGCUAAUACCGGAUAGGAGCUCCUGCUGCAUGGUGGGGGUUGGAAAGUUUCGGCGGUUGGGGAUGGACUCGCGGCUUAUCAGCUUGUUGGUGGGGUAGUGGCUUACCAAGGCUUUGACGGGUAGCCGGCCUGAGAGGGUGACCGGCCACAUUGGGACUGAGAUACGGCCCAGACUCCUACGGGAGGCAGCAGUGGGGAAUAUUGCACAAUGGGCGGAAGCCUGAUGCAGCAACGCCGCGUGCGGGAUGACGGCCUUCGGGUUGUAAACCGCUUUCGCCUGUGACGAAGCGUGAGUGACGGUAAUGGGUAAAGAAGCACCGGCUAACUACGUGCCAGCAGCCGCGGUGAUACGUAGGGUGCGAGCGUUGUCCGGAUUUAUUGGGCGUAAAGGGCUCGUAGGUGGUUGAUCGCGUCGGAAGUGUAAUCUUGGGGCUUAACCCUGAGCGUGCUUUCGAUACGGGUUGACUUGAGGAAGGUAGGGGAGAAUGGAAUUCCUGGUGGAGCGGUGGAAUGCGCAGAUAUCAGGAGGAACACCAGUGGCGAAGGCGGUUCUCUGGGCCNUUCCUGACGCUGAGGAGCGAAAGCGUGGGGAGCGAACAGGNUUAGAUACCCUGGUAGUCCACGCUGUAAACGGUGGGUACUAGGUGUGGGGUCCAUUCCACGGGUUCCGUGCCGUAGCUAACGCUUUAAGUACCCCGCCUGGGGAGUACGGCCGCAAGGCUAAAACUCAAAUGAAUUGACGGGG